AUUGAACGCUAGCGGGAUGCUUUACACAUGCAAGUCGAACGGAGUGGCGGACGGGUGAGUAAUAUAUCGGAACGUGCCCAGUGGCGGGGGAUAACUACUCGAAAGAGUGGCUAAUACCGCAUACUAUCGGAUCGGCCCAUAUGGGAUUAGCUAGUUGGUGGGGUAAAGGCUCACCAAGGCAACGAUCCGUAGCUGGUCUGAGAGGACGACCAGACACACUGGAACUGAGACACGGCCCAGACUCCUACGGGAGGCAGCAGUGGGGAAUUUUGGACAAUGGGGGAAAGCCUGAUGCAGCCAUGCCGCGUGUAUGAAGAAGGCCUUCGGGUUGUAAAGUACUUUUAGCGGAGAGGCGGUAUCUGCAGAAUAAGCACCGGCUAACUACGUGCCAGCAGCCGCGGUAAUAC
rnacentral:rRNA from 1 species